rnacentral:rRNA from 1 species
UACGUAGGGGUCGAGCGUUGUCCGGAGUUACUGGGCGUAAAGCGCGUGCAGGUGGCUCAUUACGCCCGGCGUGAAAGCCCCCGGCUCAACUGGGGAGGGUCACGCGAUACUGAUCGACUCGAAGGCAGGAGAGGGUAGUGGAAUUCCCGGUGUAGUGGUGAAAUGCGUAGAUAUCGGGAGGAACACCAGUGGCGAAGGCGACUACCUGGCCUGUUCUUGACGCUGAGGCGCGAAAGCUAGGGGAGCAAACGGG